UAUGUCCUCCUCUGUAAGUCGCUUUGGAUAAAAGCGUCUGCUAAAUGCAAUGUU
rfam:Larimichthys crocea isolate SSNF unplaced genomic scaffold scaffold144, whole genome shotgun sequence.